UACAGAGGGUGCAAGCGUUGUUCGGAAUUAUUGGGCGUAAAAGCGCGUGUAGGCGGCUUUGCAAGUCGGGUGUGAAAGCCCUCAGCUCAACUGAGGAAGUGCGCCCGAAACUGCAGAGCUUGGGUGCCGGAGAGGGUGGCGGAAUUCCCCAAAGUAGAGGUGAAAUUCGUAGAUAUGGGGGAGGAACACCGGUGGCGAAGGCGGCCACCUGGACGGUAACUGACGCUGAGACGCGAAAGCGUGGGGAGCAAACAGG
rnacentral:rRNA from 1 species